UGCAACACCCAUUCCUUCUUUUUCUUCUUCUCCUGCAUGCUCGAUUCCUCCAAACCCUGACCAUCCAACACCUUCCCAACACACAGCAGACAUCCCCCUUCCCUAGUUCUGCCUUUCUUGUUCUUAGCAUCGACAGUUCUAGAUGCUACAAACAAGACAGGCAAAGCUAGGGUUCGCAGUUGCAGAGAAGACCUAUUUGGGAAGAUUCCGAGUAGCAGAAGCAAGACAAAGCAUGGGUCGAAGAGUGAGAGAAAAUAUCAGAAAAGAGGUACCACUGGUGCAUUGUUGCAGCUUUGGUGCAUUGCUGGUGCUGUGGAGUUGAAACUGUGAAGCUGCUGGUGCUAGGAGCUGCUGCUGUUGCUGCCAAGGCCCUGCUGGGCUGUUCACAAGCCAAGAGAGCCAAAAAACAGAAGCUGGGUUUCCCUUGCAUAAAAAAUCUAAGCCUAAACCCAUUAAGUAAACCCAAUUUGUGGGCUUUGUUUUAGACCAUUUAUCUUGGGCUUGUAAUUAAAUCUAAAUAGUGGGCAUGUUUUAAACACCCACCUGGGCUUGUAAUUCAAAAAAGAAUAACUUGUUAGCUGGGCUCAAGCCCAUUGAACAGAGCCUUAGGCCUGUUUCCC